AUUGAACGCUGGCGGCAGGCCUAACACAUGCAAGUCGAGCGGAUGAAGGGAGCUUGCUCCUGGAUUCAGCGGCGGACGGGUGAGUAAUGCCUAUGAAUCUGCCUGGUGGUGGGGGAUAACGUCCGGAAGCGGGCGCUACUACCGCAUACGUACUGAGGGAGAAAGUGGGGGAUCUUCGGAACUCACGCUAUCAGAUGAGCCUAGGUCGGAUUAGCUAGUUGGUGGGGUAAAGGCCUACCAAGGCGACGAUCCGUAACUAGUCUGAGAGGAUGAUCAGUCACACUGGAACUGAGACACGGUCCAGACUCCUACGGGAGGCAGCAGUGGGGAAUAUUGGACAAUGGGCGAAAGCCUGAUCCAGCCAUGCCGCGUGUGGGAAGAAGGUCUUCGGAUUGUAAAGCACGUUAAGUUGGGAGGAAGGGCAGUAAGUUAAUACCUUGCUGUUUUGACGGUACCAUCAGAAUAAGCACCGGCUAACUUCGUG
rnacentral:rRNA from 1 species